CGACCGGCGCACGGGUGAGUAACACGUAUGGAACCUGCCCGCAGCAGGGGGAUAAGCGGAAGAAAUUCCGUCUAAUACCGCGUAACACCGCAGAGGGGCAUCCCUCGGCGGUUAAAGAUUCAUCGGCUGCGGAUGGCCAUGCGGCGCAUUAGCUAGUCGGCGGGGUAACGGCCCACCGAGGCGACGAUGCGUAGGGGUUCUGAGAGGAAGGUCCCCCACACUGGGACUGAGACACGGCCCAGACUCCUACGGAAGGCAGCAG
rnacentral:rRNA from 1 species